CCUGCGGAAGGAUCAUUACACGAUAGUACAGGCCCCAAGUGCAGCACAAACUGCAUGGGCGGGUUAUGUCUAUUACCCUUGUUUAUUGAGUACCUAUGUUUCCUUGGUGGGCUUGCCUGCCAAAAGGACACCCCAUUGAACCUAUUUAUUUUCAAUCAACGUCUGAAUAACAAUAAUAAUUACAACUUUCAACAACGGAUCUCUUGGUUCUGGCAUCGAUGAAGAACGCAGCGAAAUGCGAUAAGUAGUGUGAAUUGCAGAAUUCAGUGAAUCAUCGAAUCUUUGAACGCACAUUGCGCCCCUUGGUAUUCCAUGGGGCAUGCCUGUUCGAGCGUCAUUUGUACCUUCAAGCUAUGCUUGGUGUUGGGUGUUUGUCCACUCCACUGCGUCUGGACUCGCCUUAAAGCAAUUGGCAGCCUAUAUCUGGUUUUGAGCGCAGCACAUUUUGCGUCUUACUGCUAGUUAUGUGGGCACCCAUUAAGCCUCUUUAUCACGUUUGACCUCGGAUCAGGUAGGGAUACCCGCUGAACUUAAGCAUAUCAAUAA
rnacentral:misc_RNA from 1 species